GGUUCGCCUGAUUGAUCAGAUGUGAUAUUAAGCAAAAUAAGUAAUUUAGGAGUGAGAAGGGUGAUAUAUAUAUAUAUAUGAUGUCACUAAAUAUAUUUCAUUCACAUUUUCAAAAUAUUUCUUUUUUUUUUUUUAAUUAAGUACAUGUAUUUUUUUAGAAUAUUUUGUUUUUAAAACAAUUUCUUAAACUGUGACCGUAAUUUCUGAAUGUAACACCGCUAAGUUGUGUUGGAGAGGUUGAAUAGAUUGUGUUUAUAUAAAGUUCGAUUUGUUAAUUUACUUUUAUUAUACAUAAAAAUGAUUCGUGCUCAGCCUUUCCAAUUCGAGAGAGUUGAUCCUGCAGAAGAAAAGAAAAAAGCCAGGUCUUCUGUUUUGGGUACUUUAAUAGUAUUCAUUACCAUUAUUGGCAUGAUUCGUGCAGCUCCUCUUGCAGUUGAAAAAUUAAAUAGCUAGGAUUUCUUCACCAAAAUUCUGGGUUUAUAUGUAAUGUUGAUAAAAAAAAAAAUGUAUCAUUUUCAUCUGUAGAUUUGCAAAGCUUCACUUAUCAAAAUUGUUUUAUUGAUAGCAACUGUUGUUCAUUUGAAAUGAGAAUGGUUCAUUUUGUAAUGUUUUCAAAAUUAAGAAAAUAAACUAUUUGACAUAA